UCUGGUGACAAUAGCGAAGUGGUCACACCUGUUCCCAUCCCGAACACAGAAGUUAAGCACUUCAGCGGUAAAUAUAGCUAUGCUAGCCGUAGUGAAAAGAGCACGUUGCCAGUU
rnacentral:rRNA from 1 species